UAGCCUAGUGGUUAAGGCUAUGGAUUGCCAAUCCGGAGACGGCUGGUUCGAUUCCCGU
rnacentral:tRNA from 1 species